UUAUUAUUGCAUCUCUCUUCCCGAUCGUGGAUCUACGCUUCUUCUUUUUUUUCUUUUUUCGUCUUCUUCCCAUAUAAUAAUAUUUGAGUACGUAUAGACCUGGAUCACAUAAACCUUUAUAGUCAGUUGGAUUUAGUGCUAAGACAAAGCUUCACUUAUAAACUACUGCUCAGACUUCGUGUAUCAUUCAGAUAACUUCUUGAAAAUUCAAUGAUGAUGAAAUCCUUUUUGUACGCCCUUGUUUUGGUUGCCCUCAUCGCCAUGGUUCAAGCUGGCGGAGAUGCCUCUGCUGAGGUCGAGGCUGAGGCUGAAGCUGGAAAUUCUGGUGCUGGAACCUUGUUCGUUUCCUUCGCCAUCAUCUUAAACUCGCUUCUCUUUUCUCUCACUCACUAACUAAAUUCAUUCACUAAAAUUUGCUUAUAUAUUAUAUAAUUAUUAUUAUCAAACUUUAUGAAAAGUUAUUUUUUGUAUGUCAAAAAUGACUUUAAUAUAACAAUAAAUACACUUUUUUAGAAAAAAAAAA
rnacentral:lncRNA from 1 species